GACGAACGCUGGCGGCGUGCUUAACACAUGCAAGUCGAACGAUGAACCCGGAGCUUGCUCUGGGGGAUUAGUGGCGAACGGGUGAGUAACACGUGAGUAACCUGCCCUGGACUCUGGGAUAAGCGUUGGAAACGACGUCUAAUACCGGAUAGGACCUUGGAUCGCAUGAUCUGGGGUGGAAAGUUUUUUCGGUCUGGGAUGGACUCGCGGCCUAUCAGCUUGUUGGUGAGGUAAUGGCUCACCAAGGCGUCGACGGGUAGCCGGCCUGAGAGGGUGACCGGACACACUGGGACUGAGACACGGCGCAGACUCCUACGGGAGGCAGCCGGAGGGAAUAUUGCACAAUGGGCGAAAGCCUGAUGCAGCAACGCCGCGUGCGGGAGGACGGCCUUCGGGUUGUAAACCGAUUGUAGUAGGGAAGAAGGGCUUCGGCUUGACGGUACCUGCAGAAAAAGGACCGGCUAACUACGUG
rnacentral:rRNA from 1 species